rnacentral:rRNA from 1 species
UAAGACAGGGGGCUCGAGCGUUAAUCGGAAUCACUGGGCUUAAAGGGUGCGUAGGCGGGUCGGUAAGCAUCCCGUGAAAUCCCUUGGCUCAACCAAGGAACCGCGGGAUGGACUGCCGAUCUUGAGGUAGCUAGAGGCGGGUAGAACGAUAGGUGGAGCGGUGGAAUGCGUAGAUAUCUAUCGGAAUGCCGAAAGUGAAGACAGCCCGCUGGGGCUUACCUGACGCUAAAGCACGAAAGCGUGGGGAGCAAACCGGAUUAGAUACCCGGGUAGUCCACGCCCUAAACGAUGUGCACUAGACCGGAGCGGCUCUGACGUCGUUCUGGUCGGAGAGAAAUUGUUAAGUGCACCGCCUGGGUAGUACGGUCGCAAGGCUA